rnacentral:rRNA from 1 species
UACGGAGGAUCCAAGCGUUAUCCGGAAUCAUUGGGUUUAAAGGGUCCGUAGGUGGAUAAUUAAGUCAGAGGUGAAAUCCUGCAGCUCAACUGUAGAAUUGCCUUUGAUACUGGUUAUCUUGAAUUAUUAUGAAGUAGUUAGAAUAUGUAGUGUAGCGGUGAAAUGCAUAGAUAUUACAUAGAAUACCAAUUGCGAAGGCAGAUUACUAAUAAUGGAUUGACACUGAUGGACGAAAGCGUGGGGAGCGAAC